GUGAACGCUGGCGGUAGGCCUAACACCUGCAAGUCGAACGGCAGCACCGUAAGAGCUUGCUCUUACGGGUGGCGAGUGGCGGACGGGUGAGGAAUACAUCGGAAUCUACUUUUUCGUGGGGGAUAACGUAGGGAAACUUACGCUAAUACCGCAUACGACCUACGGGUGAAAGCAGGGGAUCUUCGGACCUUGCGCGAUUGAAUGAGCCGAUGUCGGAUUAGCUAGUUGGCGGGGUAAAGGCCCACCAAGGCGACGAUCCGUAGCUGGUCUGAGAGGAUGAUCGGCCACACUGGAACUGAGACACGGUCCAGACUCCUACGGGAGGCAGCAGUGGGGAAUAUUGGACAAUGGGCGCAAGCCUGAUCCAGCCAUACCGCGUGGGUGAAGAAGGCCUUCGGGUUGUAAAGCCCUUUUGUUGGGAAAGAAAAGCAGCAGGUUAAUACCCCGCUGUUCUGACGGUACCCAAAGAAUAAGCACCGGCUAACUUCGUG
rnacentral:rRNA from 1 species